rnacentral:rRNA from 1 species
ACAAGCGGUGGAGCAUGUGGUUUAAUUCGAAGCAACGCGAAGAACCUUACCAGGUCUUGACAUCCUCUGACAACCCUAGAGAUAGGGCUUCUCCUUCGGGAGCAGAGUGACAGGUGGUGCAUGGUUGUCGUCAGCUCGUGUCGUGAGAUGUUGGGUUAAGUCCCGCAACGAGCGCAACCCUUGAUCUUAGUUGCCAUCAUUUAGUGGGCACUCUAAGGUGACUGCCGGUGACAAACCGGAGGAAGGUGGGGAUGACGUCAAAUCAUCAUGCCCCUUAUGACCUGGGCUACACACGUGCUACAAUGGCCGGUACAAAGAGCUGCAAGACCGCGAGGUGGAGCUAAUCUCAUAAAACCGUUCUCAGUUCGGAUUGUAGGCUGCAACUCGCCUACAUGAGCUGGAAUCGCUAGUAAUCGCGGAUCAGCA